CCGCGGGUCAUUACAAUGACGAUUAACUUGAAGGUGACGCCGACGGCGGGAGGAGUCCGCGGGUCAUUACAAUGACGAUUAACUUGAAGGUGACGCCGACGGCGGGAGGAGUCCGCGGGUCAUUACAAUGACGAUUAACUUGAAGGUGACGCCGACGGCGGGAGGAGUCCGCGGGUCAUUACAAUGACGAUUAACUUGGUGACACCGACGGCGGGAGGAGUCCGCGGGUCAUUACAAUGACGAUUAACUUGAAGGUGACGCCGACGGCGGGAGGAGUCCGCGGGUCAUUACAAUGACGAUUAACUUGAAGGUGACGCCGACGGCGGGAGGAGUCCGCGGGUCAUUACAAUGACGAUUAACUUGAAGGUGACGCCGACGGCGGGAGGAGUCCGCGGGUCAUUACAAUGACGAUUAACUUGAAGGUGACGCCGACGGCGGGAGGAGUCCGCGGGUCAUUACAAUGACGAUUAACUUGAAGGUGACGCCGACGGCGGGAGGAGUCCGCGGGUCAUUACAAUGACGAUUAACUUGAAGGUGACGCCGACGGCGGGAGGAGUCCGCGGGUCAUUACAAUGACGAUUAACUUGAAGGUGACGCCGACGGCGGGAGGAGUCCGCGGGCCAUUACAAUGACGAUUAACUUGAAGGUGACACCGACGGCGGGAGGAGUCCGCGGGUCAUUACAAUGACGAUUAACUUGAAGGAUGAAAGUGACGCCGACGGCGGGAGGAACCGCGGGCCAUUACAAAGAUGACGUUGAAGACAGGUCGAGUAUGAAGAUGUCCACAUCACAUCCCAUCCCAUUAUGGAGGCAAAUCCCUUAUUCCCCCCUACUGCCGGGCUAUUCUGGUGAGGACGCCCAUGGUGUGUUAAGGGCCGCCGGUGGUCGUCGUGGUGUUGGUGGCUCCCAGGCCGAAGAGAAGCACUGCCCCUGCGUCUCCCCGGUCCCUGUGAUGCUGGUCGAGUCGGUGCUCUCCUCUGGGCAGCCACUUCCGGACCAGACGGCUUCUCGCUACGCCAUUGUGGGAGUCGAACCCAACAAUGUGAGGAAAACUAAAAGAUAAUAAAUCUAAAAAUGCCUCCGGCCAAUGUGAGUUGAUGGCGAAGGGGGAAGGUUGUGUUGACCAGGGUGCCCUGCAUGGUGUUGACAGGGCUGUGCUGAUGACAGGCGAUGACGAAAGCGGGAAAUUCAGUUUGGUAUUCUCAGACGCUUCCGCCUCUCUUAAUAGAGCUCAUAAAAAUAUUUAUUUGAUUAGUGAUAACGUACAUCU